rnacentral:rRNA from 1 species
UGUCGUCAGCUCGUGUUGUGAAAUGUUGGGUUAAGUCCCGCAACGAGCGCAACCCUUAUCCUUUGUUGCCAGCGGUCCGGCCGGGAACUCAAAGGAGACUGCCAGUGAUAAACUGGAGGAAGGUGGGGAUGACGUCAAGUCAUCAUGGCCCUUACGACCAGGGCUACACACGUGCUACAAUGGCGCAUACAAAGAGAAGCGACCUCGCGAGAGCAAGCGGACCUCAUAAAGUGCGUCGUAGUCCGGAUUGGAGUCUGCAACUCGACUCCAUGAAGUCGGAAUCGCUAGUAAUCGUGGAUCAGAAUGCCACGGUGAAUACGUUCCCGGGCCUUGUACACACCGCCCGUCACACCAUGGGAGUGGGUUGCAAAAGAAGUA